rnacentral:tRNA from 2 species
GCGGGUGUAGCUCAAUGGUAGAUCGUCUCCUUGCCAAGGAGAAGGCCGUGGGUUCGAGUCCCAUCACCCGC